ensembl:rRNA 5S_rRNA 5S ribosomal RNA
GUCUAUGGCCAUACCACCCUGAAAAUGUCCAGUCUCAUCUGAUAUCGCAAUUUAAGCAGGGUCGGGCCUGGUUAGUAAGGGAUGGGAGAAAGGACUAUCAGAAAUAGUGGAGCAUCACGGCACCAAGUCC